GGUUUUUCUCCGGGAACCCUCAUUGCGCACAAAUCCAGCCCGUCGCCAGUACCGCCAAAUGCAGUCUGGCUGGAAAAGAUCAUCCCGUUUUCAUCCUCCCAGUGAAUGAUACCACUAAACUAAAGCCUGGAGUUUUGGGGGCUCUGAAAUAUGAACUAGAAUGGAAUUUCCACAAGGCUGGUGACUUUGUCUGGAACAUGCUCAGGCUUAUCUUCUGAACUCCAGACUUACAACAAUUAUCAACUUGACGUAACCACCCUGAUGUCUCACACAUUCUAAACACAAAACUGCUCAAACCUGCUGCUCCUACACAGGCUUCCCCUCCUCAUCAUUCAUCCAGUCAUUCAAACCAGAAACCUCAGAGUCAUUAUUUUCUCCUCCUGCAUCUAAGCAAUACUGUUGACGUGUUGAUUCUGCCUCCAAGCUAUAUCAUCAAAUCAGGCUGCUGCUCUCCAUUUCUACUGCCACCUGGAUUCUGCAGUCACCUCCCUACAGGCCUUCCUGCUUCCAUGUUUGCCCCCUCCAAGCCACUUUCAAUGAGUGGCUAAGCAUCACUUAAAAAAUAAAAGGGAGUUGGACUUCCCUGGUGGCACAGUGGUUAAGAAUCUGCUUGCCAAUGCAGGGGACAUCACUUCCGGAGAAGAGCUAGCUGUUGUUUUCCAGACUUGAAAAGCAGACCCUGUGCUAACGUCUCCUGUGAGAAGUCUUCCCCAGUUCCUCUCACGCUAAUUGCCCUCUUCUCUGUGCUUCCAGAGAACAAGGAAUCUGCCUGUUAGGGAAGUUACUAGUGACAAGUCCUAGUAACAAACAAACAAACAAGCAAACAGAGCAUUCUUACUACCUAAUGGGCCCCAUGCUAGGCUCUGGGGUUUGGACAUGAACGGGACUUAUUCCAUUGUAUUGUCCUCACUGGUUGCCAAGGUCACUGAGGGUGAGCGCCUCUGGGACAGGGACUGUAUCUUAUACGUUGCUUGGUUUGGUGGUUUUCUACUUCAUCAGCCUUAACACCCUAGGAAUGGAGCAAAUACUCUGUAAGACCGUCUUUACCACCCUGAAAUGAACCUUACUGAUAAAAUAACCUACCUACACAUACUAUUAAAAAAAAAAUCAAACUGUAAUGCUCUAACGGUAAUACAACAGAAAAAUAAA